GACAGAGGUUGCAAACGUUGUUCGGAAUUACUGGGCAUAAAGCGCACGUAGGUGGUCCGCUAAGUCGCGUGUGAAAUGCCCCGGCUCAACCCGGGAACUGCGUCCGAUACUGGAAGGCUUGAAUCCGGGAGAGGGAUGCGGAAUUCCAGGUGUAGCGGUGAAAUGCGUAGAUAUCUGGAGGAACACCGGUGGCGAAGGCGGCAUCCUGGACCGGCAUUGACGCUGAGGCGCGAAAGCCAGGGGAGCAAACGGG
rnacentral:rRNA from 1 species